rnacentral:misc_RNA from 1 species
UAAAAAGCAGUACGAUGCAGGGCUCCUAGAAGUUAUAAAAUAUCCUGAAUGGACGGCAAAUGUAGUUCCAGUAAUGAAGAAAGAUGGUAGGGUGAGAGUCUGUAUUGAGUACAGGGAUCUCAACAAGGCUAGUUUAAAAAGUGAUUUUCCGCUUCCAUAUACAGACGUGCUGGUUGAUAAUGCAGUGGGACUAGGAAGAUAUUCUUGCAUCGAUGGAGCCUCAGGGUAUAAUCAAAUUUUGAUGGACAAUGCAGACAGGAAAGAUACUGCAUUUAUCACUCAAUGGGGG